CUAAUUAUCCAUAAUCCUUCCAUGUUUAACACUACAAGCCACGCAUUAAGCCACCACUAAUCCAUGCAUCGCUAAGCCCGCCGUUCCAAAAAAAAACUGCCACAACCCACGCACGCACGCCCACCCGCACACCCCCUCCUCCCAUCGCGCCUCGCCGCACCUCCUGCUCCUCCCACGCCGCGCCGCGCCGCACGCCGCCUGCGUCGGCGGCAGCGGCGGCAAGGUCCAUCUCCUCCCUCAAGCUGCGGCGAGCUUGAGACACAGCGGGCUCGGCCACGAAGAUGGAUUUCUCCGACGGGGCAUUCGAUUCCUGGCCUAUGUUCCUCGACCUCGCGUCAGGCACAUAUGCCCCAGCGGUCGUUCCUUCUCGUGGUCAGCGACGCAGAUGCCGCUGCUGUCGUUCCUCGCACAACCGAGGAUGCGGAACUCCUCUACGGUGAGACGCAUUGCGUAGCCUCUGCCCUCCAACAUCGUGGCAGCAUGCCGAUGCCCACCAAAUGUUCGAUGAGUUCCCCUAAUGGACCUCUCUAUAUAGCUAGCCCUCUCUAUUUCAGUCUCUCACUGCUCUCCGUGUCAUCCAUAUAUGAUCUUAUUUUGUUUCAGUUUUUUGCUAGAUUUAACACUGACAUUUGUUUAAAUCCUAUCCAUGUUGAACCAUUGAAAGGGAGCACACAAAGCUGCAGAGGCAACAACUCCAAAGGAAUCAGCAUGGUGAUGCGUUUCUAUAUGUUCAGUGUGACUAGAAACCAACAUGCUGACUACUAAACCAUAUGCACAGGAUGGAAGAAAAUUAUUAUUCUAUAUGCACAGGAUCGUAGAACAUUAUUAUUAAUGUCUACAUUGGAAAGGAUCCAAACUCUAAACAAGUGAUUGGUGAACAAUAUUUUAUCUAGGUUCAGAAGUUGAUAAUCCAUUACAGUUCUUUCAUUGUGCAGGCAACCUCAGGUACGACGAAACGGCUUUGUUUUGCUUCUGUCGUCACAUUGCUGAAUACGACUUUGAAUCUCAACUGCACUUGACUGCACCUUCUAUCUUGAUCUGCUUGACAACUUAUAAUUUGCACAAGCAUUCCCCUUCAUAGUUUGUCCUUGGUCUGAAAAAACAAUUCCUGAUGAUAUAUUCCAAAUCAGAUUGUUGCAUGGAUCCUACGAACAAUAUGUACAGUCACGAUGUCGUUAUCCGUUUACCAUCAAGUAAGUUUUCACUACGUUUUGUUUCAGUUCCAUUUCAGAAUCCCUAAACCAUAUAUAUUGCAGAGCAAAGCUAGAUGAUGGACAUCUUCACUAAUAAGUAGGCCUGCUUACCACAUUCCUCUUGUUUUCUACAGUUGACGAUUUCAAAUUAUUCAAGAAUGUGUGACGCACAAGGCUGUAAGGUUUCCGCACUUGCAUCCAUAGAAAUCUGGGUGUUGGUAAAUUCUGUUUUGGAUGGAUUUUGAAGGGAACUUUGUUUUUAUCGAGGAUCAAACAAUACUAAGAGACUAACAAGAAUACAGUAAAUUACUGGAUCAUUCAUAGUUCCCUAGCGUAGAAUAGAACCCGUUGUGGUAACUAUCUUGGGGCUCUAGAAAUAAUUCCUCUGAAACUGAAUCAUUCAGUCAUACCUUCACUUCAGUAAAUAAUGGCUCUGGAUACUAGGAUCUAUCAUCUUGGUUAUUUUUUAUAUACUGCAUUGCAAAACCAGAAGCUCAAGCUAGGUUAGGCUAAGGCUAGGCUCACAAAAUAAUGAUGAUGAUUACUCAGCUAAAAUUGUUCUGGAACUUUCCGUGAUCUAACAUUUUUUCCCGAGGCUGAAUUAAUGGGUAUGGAAUUCUAUUUGGUCGAGUUGCUUAUCUGAAUGCAACCUUUGAAUAGUUAAUGAAAUUGCUGGGAUUUGGUGUUGCCAGAUUGUUCAUGUGAACGUGGCAGGAGCCUUCUUUUGUGGCCUAACAUUUUUUACCAGUUAUUAUCUUCUCAUGUAAUAGUUGUAAAUUUGCAGUCUAGAUUAGCACAUAUAGUGACUACUCAUGCUUGUCAUCACUGUACCUAAAUGAUGUCUUCCUUGCGUACUUGUCAUCACUACACCUUCAAUCGACGCUGUUAUUUAUGCUGAAUGUCAAGACCUUCAGUAUUGUACACCAUUUUUAUGAAUGCUUAGCCUAAAUGUCAUGGUUGUUUACGCCAACCUUGCUUUAUAAGUCAGAAUGAUGGGCCUAGAGCUUCCGUUUCUUUUGGGUUGGAUUUUAUUUACAACGAAUAUAUCUAGCGAUACAAAGAGCACAUGAGUUAUUCCUACAAUAUUUUUAGUGUUCAGAUAGAGUUAAGAAAAUUAUGAUGUUACCAAAUCUAUUUAGUUCAUGAUUAUUGGUAAUUAAUAUUCUAGCCUGGUGAUGGAUUAGGUUGAUGGGUCAACAUCUUCAGUCAUCUUCACUUUGCAAGUUGAACUAUUAAUGCUUAGUUUUAUUGUAGAGGGGCUUACUUCAGUUUGCAGAACUACCAUGAUAAAUAGACAAACUAUUUAUUGAUAGAGGGGAUUUGUUUUUAUGCAUUCAUAGUUAUUCCUGUUAUAGGCUGGUCCUCUUUUGAGGCUACUGAUUGCAUUAGGAAGAGGAUGUUUUCUUUUGAAAAGGUUAGAAAGAGGAUGUUGAACUAAACUUCCCUUAGUUCAUUCCUUAUAUUUUCUCAUGUUUCCUCGCAAUGGAAGGAGCACGAUAGCUUGUGGAUGGUGCUAUGGUGCAAGCGUGUAGUGGACUUGGAGGCCAGGAUUUUAGCUACAGGAAAAGAAUGAGGCUACAACUAGUGGACAAGUGACAUGACCACGAUAAGAAAAAUGCUGCACGUGCACAUGAUGACCAGUCUUGGUGAGAUUAGUGGCUGAAGCUGGCUGGCAAAUAUCUGAAGAUAAGUUCAACAAUGGAGUAGCAUGGACUAAAGGUUGUGGGAACUCCUUCAAGAUG